CCUACGGGCGGCAGCAGUGAGGAAUAUUGGUCAAUGGUCGGGAGACUGAACCAGCCAAGCCGCGUGAGGGAUGAAGGUACAGAGUAUCGUAAACCUCUUUUGUCAGGGAACAAAGGCGGGGACGUGUCCCCGGAUGAGUGUACCUGAAGAAAAAGCAUCGGCUAACUCCGUGCCAGCAGCCGCGGUAAUACGGGGGAUGCGAGGGUUAUCCGGAUUUAUUGGGUUUAAAGGGUGCGCAGGCGGUCUGUUAAGUCAGCGGUAAAAGCCCGGGGCUCAACCCCGGCCCGCCGUUGAAACUGGCAGUCUCGAGUUGGAGAGAAGUAUGCGGAAUGCGCGGUGUAGCGGUGAAAUGCAUAGAUAUCGCGCAGAACUCCGAUUGCGAAGGCAGCAUGCCGGCUCCACACUGACGCUGAGGCACGAAAGCGUGGGUAUCGAACAGGAUUAGAUACCCGAGUAGUC
rnacentral:rRNA from 1 species